GGAAAGCAUGUCAUCUAAGUAGUUGAUGAAUGAGAUAUGGUAUGAUGAAAGAAACCUUCAGCAAAGUACUUGGGAAUUUUAUCUUGUAAGAACAAAAUUAGCUUGGCUCCUCAAUGAUCUAAUAAGUUCCUACCAAAGCCAUAUGUUGAUCUAAUUGAAAACUUUAUACAUAUGCUGCUUGUUUUUGCAUUGAGCUUUGUCAAACUGUUGUGACUCGUGUGAAAAACUUUUCAUACUUUCAUGAUCAAGAUCACGUACACUCCACCUUUAUAUGCUAACAUAUACACUAAAAGUUGCGCAAAACAUUUCAUCCAUCCAUCCAUUCCACAAAAUAAAUGCCCCACUAUAUAUGUUGAUCUAUCUCUCUUAUCAUUAUAAAAGAGACAUGGGCUAUUAAAAAAUAGAAAGAAAAAAAUAUGGACACAUGAAGGUCCAAGUAAAAAAAAAGAUAAUUGGACACAAGAAGAUCCAAAUAUAUGAAAAAGAAAGAUAGCCCUGUUCUCAAAAUAUUUCAAAAGGGAGAGAGAUCAUAUAAAAAGGAGUUUUCCCAACAUCUUCCAUCCACCAUCCACAUAUUCAGACACAUGCACAUCUUGAUCAGAUUGUAUGAUUUGUUUCUCCUUGGAUCCAGUUUUUGACCUUGCAAUAUAUGUAAUACAAGUAUGCUUCCUUUUCAU
rnacentral:lncRNA from 1 species